CACAGAUUUAGACAGAUUUGUGAGAUGAUAUUUGAGAGACAUAGGCCUUUUGUGUACAUAGAAAAAGUCUUAGAUCUUUGAGUUCAGCUCAUGAAAAAUGGGGGCAAAAACAAAAGUGUUGUGUUUAUAAUUUUGUUCAGUGUAAGUACUGGUAAUACUUGGUAGUAUUUUUGCAGACUAUAAAGGAAAAUUUACACAGAAUGAAAGGAUAUAGCAUAUAUGAUUUAUUUCAGCACAUAUGGAUACAUACAAAUAUUCUACAAUCUAAAUGUAUUUAGUUGUAUUUAGUUGCAUUGGUUUAGUGAUGGUCCCUUUAUAUAACUUUCUUAAAUUAUAGUAAUUUAUACGUAACCUGCAGAGAUUAAAAAAUAUUUUACAACUGAUUAAUUAGUUAGUCAACAAUGUGGAAAUGCCUUGUUUGUCUAGGAUGUCAAUCAUUAUUUGGACAUUGCAGCCCAAAUAUUGCAAGGAGGAAUUUACUGUUUAAAAUCUAAAUAUUUACAAAGUUUAUUAUGCUGGGACUGUACAUUUAAAGGAACACUCCACGAACCAUUACCACUACAGCUCUCUAGGUCUGAGAAUGCACAUAGCAUGUGUAAUGGGAUUACAAUGCAUGCAUGGGGGACAUUCUGCAACACACUUGUAAAUGCAUUUUCUAUAAUUUUUUUGUGCUUAUUUUUUAAAUGAGACAGGAGAGGGACACUGGAGAUGUGGCCUGGGACGGUGGAACAUAGGUGGCAACUCAGUACUGUACUGCUUGAACACUGUUUAUUUGUGAUGAAAUGGUUUUAUAUAUUUCUAUGUCUAUGUAUGUACAAAUCGUUUUAUAUAUGUCUGUGUUUAUGUAUGUGCAAAUGGUUUUAUAUAUGUCUGUAACACUUAUUUGAUAUAAGACUGUGUUGAGACACAAACUGUGGAGAGGACUGGUACAAACACAAACUGUGUAAAAAGUGAGAUUGGUUUGACACAACUGAAGAGAGGACAAUAUUGGGGCAGAUAUUAACUGGGGAGGCCAAGUAGGGCAGAUGCAAUUUGGGGUACCUGGGGCAAUCAUGAACUGGGGGGAAGGGGCAGCUAUGGGUAACUAUAGUCCUUGGAAUGUCCCUUUUAAAGUAAAAAUGUCAUUGCCCAUUUUGUAAAUCACAAAUUAGUAGAUCUACC